GGAGAGCAGAAUAAUGUACUUAUUUCCGUAAUUCUGAGGAUCGGGUGAACAUUUUAUCAUUUGUAUCAUAUAGUAACAAAAUACGACUAACAUAUAAUUACUGCACGAAUAUACCAGAAGAGUUUCACAGUUUAAUUAAAAGAAACACCGGAAGUAAAGAGGGAAGCAGGAAGGUCUCCUCAGCUUGGACAAGAACGUUCAAGAGUAGGAUAUAGGGGAAA